rnacentral:rRNA from 1 species
AAACUUUCAACAACGGAUCUCUUGGUUCUGGCAUCGAUGAAGAACGCAGCGAAAUGCGAUAAGUAAUGUGAAUUGCAGAAUUCAGUGAAUCAUCGAAUCUUUGAACGCACAUUGCGCCCCGUGGUAUUCCGCGGGGCAUGCUUGUUCGAGCGUCAUUU